rnacentral:pre_miRNA from 1 species
GCUAAACUAUUUUUGCGAUGUGUUCCUAAUAUGCUAUAUAAAUAUAUUGGGAGCAUUUUGCAUGCAUGGUUCAGUAUC